rnacentral:lncRNA from 1 species
AUGCAUGCUAGUGAAUUGCUGCCCCUACCAAAAUGGAGGACCAAGACCCCUUUUCCUGAAUGGCAACUGGAACACAGACCUUUCAGAACUACUUUUUCCAUGACGUCUGUUCAGAUGGUGGACUUCCAAGAACGGGAAACAAGCUGCCUUUGUGCCCGAACGACCGAGGAACUCGCUGCCAGCCCUCAGGGUUUCCAGCUGCUGAGCGCGCGGAUAAAGCCCUGCUGCAGGGACGUUAGGAGCAGAGCUGAAAAUACAGCCAUCAUACAGGAGAGAAAAGAAAUAAGCAGAGGCAUCAUCGGUCAGAGACUCCCCCGGUACUGACAAGA